rnacentral:lncRNA from 1 species
UGAUGAACAAUGAGAGCUACGCUGGUUAGCCACCUGUACGAAGUGCUUUGG